rnacentral:tRNA from 1 species
GGGUGUAUAGCUCAGUUGGUAGAGCAUUGGGCUUUUAAC